UACGGAGGGUGCAAGCGUUAUCCGGAUUCACUGGGUUUAAAGGGUGCGUAGGAGGGCAGGUAAGUCAGUGGUGAAAUCUCCGAGCUUAACUUGGAACUGCCUUGAUACUAUCUGUCUUGAAUACCGUGGAGAUGAGCGGAAUAUGUCAUGUAGCGGUGAAAUGCUUAGAUAUGACAUAGAACACCAAUUGCGAAAGGCAGCUCGUUACACGAAUAUUGACUCUGAGGCACGAAAGCGUGGGGGAUCAAACAGG
rnacentral:rRNA from 1 species